rnacentral:rRNA from 1 species
UCCAGACUCCUACGGGAGGCAGCAGUGGGGGAUAUUGCACAAUGGGGGGAACCCUGAUGCAGCGACGCCGCGUGAGUGAAGAAGUAUUUCGGUAUGUAAAGCUCUAUCAGCAGGGAAGAAAAUGACGGUACCUGACUAAGAAGCCCCGGCUAACUACGUGCCAGCAGCCGCGGUAAUACGUAGGGGGCAAGCGUUAUCCGGAUUUACUGGGUGUAAAGGGAGCGUAGACGGUAGAGCAAGUCUGAAGUGAAAGCCCGCGGCUCAACUGCGGGACUGCUUUGGAAACUGUUCAACUGGAGUGCUGGAGAGGUAAGCGGAAUUCCUAGUGUAGCGGUGAAAUGCGUAGAUAUUAGGAGGAACGCCAGUGGCGAAGGCGGCUUACUGGACAGUAACUGACGUUGAGGCUCGAAAGCGUGGGGAGCAAACAGG